GACGAACGCUGGCGGCGUGCUUAACACAUGCAAGUCGAACGGAAAGGCCCUGCUUUUGUGGGGUGCUCGAGUGGCGAACGGGUGAGUAACACGUGAGUAACCUGCCCUUGACUUUGGGAUAACUUCAGGAAACUGGGGCUAAUACCGGAUAGGAGCUCCUGCUGCAUGGUGGGGGUUGGAAAGUUUCGGCGGUUGGGGAUGGACUCGCGGCUUAUCAGCUUGUUGGUGGGGUAGUGGCUUACCAAGGCUUUGACGGGUAGCCGGCCUGAGAGGGUGACCGGCCACAUUGGGACUGAGAUACGGCCCAGACUCCUACGGGAGGCAGCAGUGGGGAAUAUUGCACAAUGGGCGGAAGCCUGAUGCAGCAACGCCGCGUGCGGGAUGACGGCCUUCGGGUUGUAAACCGCUGUCGACUGUGACGAAGCGUGAGUGACGGUAAUGGGUAAAGAAGCACCAGCUAACUACGUG
rnacentral:rRNA from 1 species